CGUCGUACUCUAGCAUAGUGCAUGUGAGGUUUAACUCAAUGGUGGCUCCACGCCGUGAUGAGUUCUCGAUUCCAUCCACGGGUAGCCAUUUCCUACUCGAGCCCUCUCACCCUGCCCAAGUGCUAGGUCGGCUCUUAAUUUAAUAUCAAAUAGAUAGAAGGUGAAGUGGGAUUCCAAACAUAAUAUGGUCCAUCCAUUUCUGAAUGACCACCAAACAUAAUCUAGAGCAUCGCGGGCUCUAAGCACAUACCCUUUACCAUUUCUAGCAAAGGUCCAAAUAAUCCCACAAACACCAGAGUACAAA
rnacentral:lncRNA from 1 species